AAAAAUCGUUUAACCCAAAAUUUUAAGCCAACAGAUAAGUACAUUUUUUUACUUUUUAUUUUGAAAGGGAAUAGAUAAGUACAUUAAGAUAAAAACAUCACGUAAUUAUAAAGUAGUGCAAAAUAUGAUUAUUAUGAAACAUUUUAUUUACGACAACUCGACAAGUGCUUUGAGUCAGAACUUCCAAUCAAUACUGUACACGUGUCCGUCGUGACUCCACCAAUUCUACCUUGUCAUUUGCAGUUGCCGUUGCCGUCUUCUCCACUAAUUCCUUAACUCUGUGGAUUGACUUCGACUUGCUGCUGGUUAUGAUCUCGACACUUCUCCUUCUUACUUCAUCAACGAAAGCCUGAAUGUUCCUAUCCGACGAGCCACCAUCGGCCACAGCUUCCUCCGCCUCCUUCUUCCACUUCAGCGCGUUCUCCUUCAGCUCCGCCGCCUUAGGUCCGGCCGUGGCCUCGAGCAAG
rnacentral:lncRNA from 1 species